CUAAAAAACGAUUCGUUGGCUGAACAACCAUUACUUUUAAAAAUAAAUAAACUAAACACAAAUAACAAAGUAAUUUUAACUUUCCAACCUCUACUUAGCAUAUAUAGUGUCUGUAACAUAAAUAUAUAAGUUACAAGGUGAACCUAAAUGUAUGCAUAAAUAUAAUGAAAAAACAUAAGUCACGUCAACUAGUAUUAAAAUUGCAUCAAAACUAAGUAAUUAUAACAUAAUAUUUUAAGUUUGACUGUGAGCCACGUGAUAUGCAAAUCUGGAAAAAACUGGAGCCAUUUUGUGAUGCACAUGUGAAGACGGUGGAAAGAGUGUUAGAUGAAGAUAUUUUCUGAAACGCAAAGAGACGAAGACGCUGAAAAGAGCUCAGAGCAAGAAAGUGUUGCAAAGGGGGCAGCAUCAAGGAAGUGUCCUGUUUGUUUUUUUGUUCAAAAUUUGUUAAUUUGACACAUUUGUUGUACAUUCAUGAUGUGUGGUUUUAGGCUUCACCAUUGUAUUGCAGCCUGUUUCAAAAAAUAAAGUGAAAUGCUUUAUUUUGUGUGAUUUGCAUGUGUAAUUUAUUUUAGUGAAGUGACAUGGUGACCCAUACUAGGAAUUUGUGCUCUGCGUUUAACCCAUUCAAGCAGCAGUGCAGUAUG